CGCUGGGAUCACAAGGCCAAGAGCACUCACUUCCCUGAGGCCCAAUAUUCCCCGUAAUUAGAAGAGGCUGAUUACAUUUGAGCGUGUGGAUGCGGAGGAUUUGCGACACGUGGUUUAACCUUGUGACUCUGCUAACCGUACCACUCAGUGCUCUGCCUUCUUUUUCCCUGUUGGAACCAUUUAGAGAGCGACUUGUGCUCAAACCCUGUGCGCUCCAAGAGCUUCCUGAAAGGCAGAGUUUGCAGAGAAACUUUGGGGUGCACACGUCCAGGUGUCCGUCUAGAACUCCGAGACCCAGAGACAGGACUCCCAGCUGAGCCGGUGAACGAGUUUUGGUGGAUGUGACUCAUUGUCACUCAGAAUGCCCUGACCACUGUAAACAGUUCUGGAGAAUGAAGACUGACCACCCCUUAGGGCUUCUUGUUCACUUCAUAAUGAGGUGAAUCACGUGACCCACCAAUAUGAGGAGACCGGCAUGGGAUCAAGGGUAGCUAAUCCCAAUGUGGCUGUGUUUCCAUAGCUUUGAGGUCCUCAGACACUCUCUGGGUCAAAGUUCUUCAAGGACUUUGUGCUUUUAUUAUGGUUUGGAUGUGAAAUGCCCUCACAGGUACGUGUGUCUGAACACUUGAUUCCCCAGUUGGUGGCGCUAUUUGGGGAGCACGUGAGAACUUGGAGAAGUGAAGUCUUAUUGGAGGAAGGAGAGCACCAGCGUCAAGCCUUUGAAAGUUGUAGGCUGGCUGUAUCCAGCCUUGCUCUCUAUUCCUGGUCUACCACAGGGUUAGUGAGAAGCCUCUGCCUUGUGCGUGCUCUGGGCUGUGAACUCCUCCACGCCUCCUGCACAGUGACUGACUGAAACCCAUAAAUCUUUCCCAGUGUCCCCGCAGGGCACAAGGGGACUUCACAUACUCAAGAGGAAGUAGAAGGGCACCCAUCUGGCCUCUCAGAACAGAGGUGACUCCUGAGUCUCUCCCUAGAAGGGCAAUGUUAGUUAUAUCUCUGUCAGGCAUUCACAGAUGAGCUACAAACUAAGCCACAUUGUCACCCUAGGGGACGGGGCGUAUGUGCAGAAUGCCAGCUUUCAGUUGCCUGUGAAACACACACAGUGUGGCAAAACUUCCUGGAGUUUGGGAGCCAGGAAUUCUGUUCAGUGUUUAUUUUAAGAGAAAACUUUUGGUUUUAGCUGAAGGAUGUAAAGGGAAUUUGAUUGCGGGUGGCACUGGGAUGGGAGAGGGAUGGCAUUGCACUGGGCUUCUGCAAGGACCUCAACAGUUUCGCUGGACUCAGAGGAAAGCAAAGAUGGCAGCCAUUUGUCCUGGGACACACUGCAGGUCAGUGGACUUGAGAGCAGUGUACAGAUAUCACUGUCAGACAUGAUGAGACUGUGUACAAACAAGGAACCCUCUGGCUGUGAGAUUCACCUUUCCACUGUCCUCCCAGCUGUCUGUCGCCUUCCCACAGAGCACGUGAAUGACCGUCAGCAGGAGUUGUUAAAUGUCAGACUGCUAUUGCCUAGAGAGCUAUGAUUCCCUCUGUGUGCCUCAGUGGCUGGAUGCAGCACGCCCUCCAACCCAGCACCUUCCACCAGCACACCUUGCCGUCUGUUCCUACUGGUGAAUGUCUAACCACAAAACUAGUGUCCUCUGCUAGGGGCCAUCUAUCUGUCAUCUCCCUUUCCAGCCAGUGGUGAAACAGGCUUCUACCAUCUUGUGCAAACGCUCCAAGGUGGGUGUCUCUGGAAGGAGACACUAAGACAAAUUUGUGAUAUGUUCUAUUCAUUAUCAAGGAGGCUCCUCUAAAGAUGGAUGAAGACUUGAGUUAGACAAAGAAAGCUGAUGGGGGUCGGGAGGUCAAGAGUGCUGGCAGUCACCUUGCAGCUGCCUGAAGCUCAGGAUUCUAGAAGUUCCUCCUUCAGUCAUGGACAUAGGCACUCUUGUAAGAUGCAGGCAAGAUAACCCUCUACAUCGAAGGAAUAAGAUGAAAUCUGGGAGCUGUUGGCUGAUCAC
rnacentral:lncRNA from 1 species